rnacentral:siRNA from 1 species
UGCAUUUGGAGAUUAUGGAGCAUU